AGCGAACGCUGGCGGCAGGCCUAAUACAUGCAAGUCGAACGGCUCUUCGGAGCAGUGGCGGACGGGUGAGUAACACGUGUGAACGUGCCCUUUGGUACGGAACAACUGAGGGAAACUUCAGCUAAUACCGUAUGUGCCCCCAUUCUUAGCGGGAUGGGUGGGAAAGAUUUAUCGCCAUUGGAGCGGCCCGCGUUGGAUUAGCUAGUUGGUGGGGUAAAGGCCCACCAAGGCUACGAUCCAUAGCUGGUCUGAGAGGAUGAUCAGCCACACUGGGACUGAGACACGGCCCAGACUCCUACGGGAGGCAGCAGUAGGGAAUCUUGCGCAAUGGGCGAAAGCCUGACGCAGCCAUGCCGCGUGAAUGAUGAAGGUCUUAGGAUUGUAAAAUUCUUUCACCGGGGAAGAUAAUGACGGUACCCGGAGAAGAGGCCCCGGCUAACUUCGUGCCAGCAGCCGCGGUAA
rnacentral:rRNA from 1 species